AUUGAACGCUGGCGGCAGGCCUAACACAUGCAAGUCGAGCGGAGCGGCGGACGGGCGAGUAAUGCCUAGGUAUCUGCCUGGUAGAUGGGGAUAACGACCGGAAACGGGCGCUAAUUCCGCCUACUAUCAGACGAGCCUAGGGCGGAUUAGGUAGUUGGUGGGGUAAAGGCCUACGCAGGCGACGAUCCGUAGCUGGGCUGUGAGGAUGAUCAGUCACACUGGAACUGAGACACGGUCCAGACUCCUACGGGAGGCAGCAGUGGGGAAUAUUGGACAAUGGGGGAAAGCCUGAUGCAGCCAUGCCGCGUGUGUGAAGAAGGUCGUCGGUUUGUAAAGCACUUUAAGUUGGGAGGCGUUACCAACAGAAGAAGCACCGGCUAACUUCGUGCCAGCAGCCGCGGUAAUUC
rnacentral:rRNA from 1 species